CCUACGGGUAGCAGCAGUGGGGAAUCUUAGACAAUGGGGGCAACCCUGAUCUAGCCAUGCCGCGUGAGUGAUGAAGGCCUUAGGGUCGUAAAGCUCUUUCGCCUGUGAUGAUAAUGACAGUAGCAGGUAAAGAAACCCCGGCUAACUCCGUGCCAGCAGCCGCGGUAAUA
rnacentral:rRNA from 1 species